rnacentral:rRNA from 1 species
AACGAACGCUGGCGGCGCGUCUUAAACAUGCAAGUCGAACGAUCUGUAGCAAUACAGGGAGUGGCGGACGGGUGAGGAACACGUAGGAAUCUACCUUGAAGAGCGGGACAACUUUGGGAAACCGGGGCUAAUACCGCAUAGUACAGAGAUGUUAAAGGGCUAGCAAUAGUCGCUUCGAGAUGAGCCUGCGGUCUAUCAGCUUGUUGGUGAGGUAAUGGCUCACCAAGGCUACGACGGAUAGCCGGUCUGAGAGGAUGAUCGGCCACACUGGCACUGAGGCACGGGCCAGACUCCUACGGGAGGCAGCAGUUAAGAAUCUUGCGCAAUGGGGGAAACCCUGACGCAGCGACGCCGCGUGAAGGAUGAAGGCUUUCGGGUUGUAAACUUCGGUAGACUGGGAAGAAGAAAUACGUUCGUUGA